rnacentral:tRNA from 1 species
UAAAAUCUGCAGGACUUUAUCCAACAUUACCUGAAUGCAACUCAGAUGCUUUAAUUAAGCUAAGACCUU